GAUGAACGCUAGCGGCAGGCUUAACACAUGCAAGUCGAGGGGCAUCGGGAGGAAAGCUUGCUUUCCUUGCCGGCGACCGGCGCACGGGUGAGUAACACGUAUGCAACCUGCCCUCUUCAGGGGGACAACCUUCCGAAAGGGAGGCUAAUCCCGCGUAUAUCGGUUUCGGGCAUCCGUUAUCGAGGAAAGAUUCAUCGGAAGAGGAUGGGCAUGCGGCGCAUUAGCUUGACGGCGGGGUAACGGCCCACCGUGGCGACGAUGCGUAGGGGUUCUGAGAGGAAGGUCCCCCACACUGGUACUGAGACACGGACCAG
rnacentral:rRNA from 1 species